UCCCUUUUCCACUAUAAAAUCCACCACCGAUUUGGGGUUUUAUUUUUGCAUCCACCUCCGAUAAAGAACAUGCCGGUAUCGACCUUGUGCAACUUCGUGAAACGAAAUUACAGAAAAAAUGAUUUCUUGUAUAUGAACAUUGAAGUAAUUAUAUGCACCUUUCUUCUUAAAAUCUCUCUGUCCAUCUUCAUCUAGCCCCACCCCUGUUCAUUGCCGCUACGACCUUCAUCUAAUUCUAUCUCCACUGCCGGAGCAACACAUAAUCAUCUCUGUAUCUCUCUCGAUUUACUAAAGUAUGCAAUUUUUACCUAACCAAGAUUACUAAAAUACCCUGCUGGUAAAAUGGUCAAGGCAUAGUAGGAAAUAAGCAAACGACCCCAUGGGUAAAAUUGUCAAGACAUAGGGUGGAGGAAAGUGUGUUGCAUCAGGCUUUAUCAAAUGCCAUUACAAAUCUAGCAGUUCUGGGGGAACGAUCAUGAUUAGAGCCAAUGCCAUCAGAAAGGAAAGUAAGGUGACAGAAAUGUGAUUAUGUUCAGGUAGAUAUGUAAAAUCUCAUGAUUUACUUGGUUUUUAGUAUUCUUAUCCCUUUUAGGCGUAUUUGUAACAAUUGAGUUGCUUAUUUGUUUCUUUGCUAUAAGCGGUGCUAAUUGUAUGAUUGAACACAAGGAAGAGAAUUUAACAGUGAUCCCUCCUAACAUAACCACAUGUUAUCAAUCGAUGCUUAUCCAAACAAUGAUAAUAUGAUUAAUAAAAUCAAUGGAAAUAGGAUGCUAUUUAUUUUGAUUUUUUUAUUGCAAUCUAUUCUGCAGGUACUUUAGGUCAUAAAAUUAUUAAUUAC